rnacentral:rRNA from 1 species
AUGGCUGAGAAUGUCAAUACAAGAUCUGCAGAUGAUGAUGCAAUGAGAGAACAAGACAUAUACGCUAGUUUCCUCGAGGAAGCAAACACAGAUUUAUACCCUGGAUGUGCAACAUAUUCGAGGUUGUCAUUUCUUGUCACUUUAUAUCACAUGAAAGUCUUGCAUGGAUGGUCACAGGAAUCAUUCACACAGCUACUUGGUGUAUUAUCGGUUGCAUUUCCUCAGAUAAACCUACCCAAGAAAUAUUAUGAGGUGAAAAAAAUCAUACGCGGAUUAGGGCUGGACUAUGAGAAAAUUCAUGCAUGCCCAAGAGACUGCAUGCUUUUUAGAGGCGAAAGAGCUAACCAGGAGUCUUGCCAUGUGUGUGGUGCCUCUCGUUGGGUUACCAAUGAAAAUGAGAAGAAAGAUUCCGCAACUGAAUCUAAAAAGAAGAAGAAGAAGAAACCAGCCAAGGUGUUGCGAUAUUUCCCAUUGAUUUCAAGGCUCCAAAGGUUAUUUGCAACCAAGAAGACAUCAACUGACAUGCAUUGGCAUGAUGAGGGUCGUACAAAAGAUGGAUUGCUGCGAUGUCCAGCUGAUGGAGAGGCUUGGAAAGAUUUUGAUGCCAGAUAUCCUAAAUUCGCUGAGGAUUCCCGUAAUGCGCGGCUAGGCGUUGGGUCUGAUGGGUUUAAUCCUUUCCGACUCAUGAGUGCAGAACAUAGUACUUGGCCAGUGAUGCUUAUUCCAUACAACCUACCACCUUGGAUCUGCAUGAAGCAAACAUCUCUAAUUUUAUCAAUGAUUAUUCCUGGACCAAGUUCCCCUGGCAAUGACAUUGAUGUAUAUUUGCAGCCGUUGGUGGAUGAGCUGCAACAACUUUGGAAGGGUGUGGACACUUUUGACUCAUGUACUCAGGAGAAAUUUUCUCUUCGAGCUGCACUAUUAUGGACUUUGAACGAUUUUCCAGCAUUAGCUUACCUCUAUGGGUGGAGCACGAGCGGUAAAUAUGCUUGCCCGUCUUGUGGUCCUUUCACAAGAUCAUAUUGGCUAAAGAAGAGUAAGAAAUUUUGUUAUAUGGGUCAUCGCCGAUGGCUACCACAGAAUCAUGUAUUUCGGAGACGAAAGAAGGAGUUUGAUAACACCGAAGAGAUGGAACUUGCACCUAUAACAAUGAGUGGUAGCUCAGCUUUGAGAAUGUUGCAGGGCAGAGUGUUUGUCUUAGGAAAAAAGGUUAUUGUGGCAAAGAAAGGGAAAGGGAAAAAGAAGGGCAAAGACAGUGAAAAAGGAACUGAAGGUCCUGAAAAACAGAAGCGUAAAAGAGCGCCUAACAAGAAAUCAGGUAACGUCGCACGUAAACCUGAAAAGAAGCCUGAGGAUUGUUUCAAAAAGAAGUCGAUAUUCUUUGAUUUGGAAUACUGGGAGCACAACAAGUUAAGGCACAAUCUAGAUGUAAUGCAUAUUGAGAAAAAUGUCUUCGAAAAUUUAAUUGGAACCGUACUGGAUAUUGAUUCUAAAACAAAGGAUGGCCUUGAUGCACGACUUGACUUAGGAGAAAUUGGAAUUCGAUCUAGCCUUCAACCUCAUGAAGGUGAUAAGGGUAAAACUGAAUUGCCGCAUGCACCUUUUAAUAUGUAUAAAGAAAAGAAGGAGAUUCUUUGUACAGUGGUUAAGAAUUGUAGGACACCUGAUGGUUGUGCAUCAAACUUUUCGAGGUGUGUGAACAUGAAAGAAUUGACAUUGACUGGCCUCAAAAGCCACGACUGCCAUGUUAUUCUACAAGACAUCCUUCCUGUGGCACUUUUACACUGUUAUCCCAGUAAAGAUGUCAUGAUAAUAGUUGUUGAGGUGGCUAAUUUCUUCAAGAAGCUAUGCUCCAAAGUGUUAGAUGUUUUUGAGCUUGACAAACUGCAAGAGAGUAUUGUGAAGACACUUUGUAAUAUGGAAAAGGUUUUUCUUCCAUCGUUUUUUACUGUCAUGGUACAUUUAAUGGUGCAUUUAGUUGAAGAAGCUAAACUUGGUGGCCCGGUGCAUUACAGGUGGAUGUACCCUCUUGAGAGAUCAUUUGUUUGGCUAAAGUCACUUGUGCGCAAUAGAGCUUAUCCUGAAGGUUCUAUUGCUGAAGGAUAUACUGUUGAAGAAUGCUUGACCUUUUGUUCAAGAUUUCUAGAAGGAACCACACGUUUCACAAGAACAUCUAGGAACCCUGAUCCUUCAGAUAAUACAAAGGGCAUAUACAUGUUUGAUAGUGUUGGUGAGCCAAUUGGAAAGGCUGUCACUAUAGGCCAGUUGGACGAUCAGCUUCUAGUUCAAGCACAUCGAUAUGUCUUGCGACACUCUGAUGAGCUUGAUGAUCUCCGUAGAGAAUUUCUGGACCAAGAGAGGAGGAAACCGGGUAACUUAAAUUUGACGGAUGAUGACAAGGAGGAUUUGAUUGGUAGACACUUUGCUGACUGGUUGGAACAAAAGGUUAUACUAGAUGAUGGACCGGAUAUCACAGAAAAGAUAAGGGCAUUAGCCGCAAAACCAAGCAAAUGCGGGGUGCGCUAUAGUGGCUAUAUAAUUAAUGGUUUCAGGUUUCAUACUAUCAGUCACGAGACAGGACACGUGACACAAAAUAGUGGUGUCGUGAACCUUGCUGAAAAUGGCGUGUCCUAUUAUGGUCGGUUAUCUGACAUCUUCGAAUUGUCAUACAAAGAUUACAAGGUGGUCUUCUUUAAAUGUGAUUGGGGAGAAGUUAGAGGAUGA